CGCGACUCGAUUCAUAUCCAUGAGCUCAGGGCUGCAGCAAGAUGCGCUGACGUCACAGCAGGAGGAGAGCCGAAACGAGUCGGGCCACGUUUCUCCAUCCUAGCGAUGAUGGCGUCCCGACACCCAUGAGCAAGCAGAAAAAGAGGAGGAAGAAAGAAAGAAAGAAAGAAAGUGAGGCCCCUUUCAGGAUUGCGAUGAUUAAUUUUUGCUUCGGACUUCAAUUCGUUCGUCUUUUGUUGUUGAUAUGUCUGGAUCAUUGACUUUCUAUUGGAGGCUGGGGUAACGUUAAGGCGCAGGUGCCUCCAUCCAUCCGUUCAUCUAUCCGUCCAUCCAGCGCAGUGGAGGGGCCGGGCCGGCCCGAUGGCUGCUGGGGGAGGUGGAGGAGGAUGCGGGGAGUCGGUGGAUCAUUACCGGGCGGAGGUGGAGCGGCUGACCCGCGAGCUCGCGGAGGCGAACCGGGAGAAGGUCCGGGCGGCGGAGUGCGGGCUGGCGGUGUUGGAGGAGAACCAGAGCCUCAAACAGCAGUAUGCGGAGCUCGAGGCCGAGCAGGAGACCCUCAGACAGGAGCUGGAGCAGCUGCACGAGGCCUUCAGCCAGGCGUACACCACUCAAAGGAAGGUGGCUGAAGAUGGGGAGACCAACGAGGAGACGCUGCUGCAGGAGUCGGCCACUAAGGAAGCAUACUACAUGGGCCGCCUACUCGAGCAGCAGGCCGAGCUGAAGAGCAGCAGAUCACAGGCGUCCUGCACGCAGGUCGAGAACGAGAGACUCAGCACCAUCCUACAGGAGCUGAGAGAGAGUAAUGAGAUGUUGGAGUUGCAGAGAAGCCGGAUGAGAGAGGAGAUCAGGGAGUAUAAGUUUAGAGAGGCCAGAUUACUGCAAGACUACACCGAACUGGAGGAGGAGAACAUCUCGCUGCAGAAACUGGUGUCCACGCUCAAGCAGAACCAGGUGGAGUAUGAGGGCUUGAAGCAUGAAAUCAAAGUUCUGGAGGAGGAAACAGCCCUGCUUAACAGCCAAUUAGAAGAUGCGUUGCGCCUGAAGGACAUCUCUGAGACCCAAUUGGAGGAGGCUUUGGAUUCUCUGAAAAGCGAGCGAGAACAGAAGUAUGCUUUGCGCAAGGAAUUAGCACAUCAUCUAACCAUGUGCGAUGGGGGUUUCAGUUCAGGCUGUGCCCAUCUGAUCGCCCUGACCUCAGCGCCACCUAGUGGCAGUGCCACCCCGACAGCCGCCACAUCGCCCAGCAGCGAGGACGGUGGCAAGUGCAACGGGCAUCUGCUUCAAGGCGCGGCAGGAUCAGUUUUGAGCCGACUGAACGGAGACUUCAGGCCGUCGAGUUUGAGGAAGACUGAAAUUCUGACCCCUGACCUCUUUAGUGAGCUCAAUGGCCCUGAAAUCCUGAAACUAAGACAACAGCUUCAGCAGGUGGAACGUGAAAAAGCGACUUUGCUCAACAGCUUGCAGGAAUCACAGGCUUUGCUCCGUCACACACAGGGGGCGCUGACAGAGCAGCACGAGAAGGCCAGUCGCUUGGGCGAGCGCUUCCGAAAAUUCCGCCGCCAACGCAGCAGCAAGGAAACCAAGGGGGAAGAGGAGGUCGAAGAAGAGGAGACAACAUGCAUCCCUAGUGGCCAGGAAGGGCCGAGUCUGGAAUUGCUGCAAUGUAAAUACAGGGUGGCUGUGACGGAGGUGGUUGGACUGAAGGCAGAGCUUAAGGAGGUGAAAGAUAGAUAUAAUGAGUGUGUGGAGGCAAGAGCACGGGUGGAGGAGCAGGGCAAGGUGCAGCUGCAAGCAUUGGAGACACAAGUGGUGCAGCUGGAGCGCAGCUGCAGGGAAAGCCGGGAGAAGGCGGUGAAUCUGGAACGCGAGCUGCGGGCAGCCAAUAACACGACCUUGGAGACGCAAGGAAUCCUGGGAACUGCCCAAGAAGAGCUGGCGACAUUCAGCGAGGAGUUAGCGCAACUUUACCACCACGUCUGCCUGUGCAACAACGAGACACCCAACCGCGUUACGCUGGACUACUACCGGCAGGGCAGAAUGCCAACGCGCAUUUCAACCCCUGGCCACAAGGGACAGGACGAUCACCGUGUGCUGUUGACCCCACGUCUUGCACGUCGUUUGGCGGCAAUUAACGCUGCAACGUCCGCUGAGUCUCGUAGCCCGUCGGACUCACCAUCCAAAGAACCUCUCACUGCUGAGCAGAGCCCAGUCCGUACGCCACUGGGUUCACCCGUCGUUAGUGCCUCUUCCUCGUCUUCAUCAUCAUCCCCAGCACCCGAGUCGGCCACGGGGUCUGACCUCCGCCGCGAACCCACCAACAUCCACCACCUCAACGCCAUCAUCCGCGACCAGAUCAAGCACUUGCAGAAGGCGGUGGACCGCUCGCUCCAACUGUCCCGCCAGAGAGCGGCCGCUAGCGAACUCGCCCCACUGAUGGACAAGGACAAAGAGGCCUGCAUGGAGGAGAUUCUCAAGCUCAAGUCCCUCCUGAGCACAAAGAGGGAGCAGAUUGCAACCUUGCGUCUUGUGCUCAAAGCCAACAAGCAGACGGCUGAGGGGGCUUUGGCCAACCUGAAGAGUAAAUACGAGAAUGAGAAGACAAUGGUGACGGAGACCAUGAUGAAACUGAGGAAUGAGCUAAAGGCAUUGAAAGAGGACGCGGCUACCUUCUCUUCCCUCAGAGCCAUGUUCGCCACACGGUGUGAUGAGUACGUGUCUCAGCUGGACGAGAUGCAGAGACAACUCGCGGCGGCGGAGGACGAGAAAAAGACGCUCAACUCUCUCCUCCGCAUGGCCAUCCAGCAAAAACUCGCCCUCACACAGAAACUGGAAGACCUGGAGUUCGACCAAGAGCAGUCGCACCGGACCCGUGUGGGAAAAACGUCCCGGCUGAGGAGCAACACACCUAAAUCAAAGCAUCAAGCAACAUUAAAUCUUAAUGUUUUGAAAGAACCUACUGGGAAAUGCACCUGUUUAAGUUGUGUUUUGGAACAAGGUAGCUAGUUUCUAGCUGUUCCAAACUGGUUUAAAUGGUUGACAAGGAAGAAUACCAGCUCAUUGGGACCUGACUGGGCUAGUAGACCAUUUUGGAUCAGCAAUAAACCAGCUAUCUCAGAAACCGGUUUGACAUUGAUGCUAAAGCUAUAAUGUCACAAUAGUGAGAUAGUCAGCAGCAUCCUCCUGCCUCAGUGCCACAGCGCUACCAAGAACUAAACACAUCGGACCCUGUUAACCUACAGUUUAUUUUUCAGUAGGUUGCAUCAGUUAUGAUCUGGGUCCGGCAGCAGAUGGACUGUAACGGUGAUUCUCCAGGAUUCAACAACAUCAGAAGGAGUCUGAUUAUUUUCCCCUCCUAACUGCCCAAGUCUCUGGAGCCUGAAGCUUUUCCCCUCGAUUCCUGCCUCCCCUAGCGUAGAUCUAAGGCACCGCUUGAGCUUAAACACCACAGGAGUGCCUCACGCCCGUGACCUUACCGCACCGUGAGCCGAGUUCACUGGCCCAUGUGAGAUAAAGACACACUACAGUGAUGGCAGAGAGACACAAACCAAAGUAACACACAGGCCCUGAAUGCCUAGCUGAUCACAUGAUGCUCUGACAUCAUGGUCAUGUGAUCUCUUGUACAUUUGUAUCCUUGUCCAGCAGCUUUUUGCCUAUGACACUUUUUUACACGCUAAUGCCGAGUUCACACUGCACGAUUUUAGCUCUGAUUUUCACUCGCCGACAGGUUUUGCGAAAUCGCUGACAAAUGCCCGAAAUCUGAGGCAAAUCGGUGCUUGUUCACGCGAGUGACAAUCACGCAGUAUGAAUUAUCAAAGACGCGAUCGGAGAGAAUAUUUGGCAUGCUAAAUCUGGAGCUGUCGGCGUUUCAAAACAGCCAAUGAAAGAGCAAGAUACAGUUCGGGGAGGACUUUAUUAUUAUUAUUAUUAUUAUUAAGCAAUUAGACAUGUACAAACAAUGUCGCAAUAUCAAUACAUUUUUGCAUUAGAAAUUAGAAUAUACAGUGCAUGUAAAUCAUAUUCUUCUAUAAAGGACAAAAGAUUUAUUGCAUUUUUCUUUUUCAUUACUUUGAGGGCUUUUGUAGACAAGCUCAUUAUAAAAUGAACAAAACGUUGGUUUCACUUUCAACUUAGAUGUGUGUAUAUAAAAUUUUCCCAGCAGAAGUAGGCUAUGUUACGAAGUCACCUUUGUUAUUGUUUGUUCGGGGAGGACUUAUUAUAGACCACAAUAUCAGCAUGAUCUUGCGUUAUUUCCUUAUCACUUCUCACGUGCGUUUGGUUAUGAAACGCAGUUUGCGGAGCAGACAGAGUUGUCGGAAAUUCUUCCUAUUGUAAAGUCAUGCAGUGUGUGACCUCCUGUCGCCGAUCUAUCGUGCAAUGUGAAUACAGCAGCAACUGAACGCUACCCCAGAUAGUUGUGCAGUGUGAAAACAACGAUGAUCCGAUGAUUUUGAAAAUUACGCAGUGUGAACUUGGCAUAACUUGAAAGUGUUCAUGUUUCACAGUUUUGUCAGCUGAAUGUGAUGAUGAUGUACAAUCACUGAUGAAUGUUACAGAAUGUGGACUCUUGAAUAUUAAGGGAAAUGAGGAGGAAGAAAUUUAAAUAUAUAUAUAUAUAUAAAACCUUAUGAAUACUGAUACUAGCACUAUUAUGAUGGAAUAAUCACUGGAAUGGUAGAGUAGUUAACAGUAAGUUACAAAGUUAAAUUAAACCCUUACAGACCAAACAUGAAUGUUCAAGGUUAAAAACAAGUUAAGAUCUAUAAACAACAUCAUGCUGCCACUUACUUAGUAUGGAUAAUAAUUUCAACUGUAUAUGUAUGUAUAUAUACACACAUAUACAUACAUAUAUAUAUAUAUAUA